GUUAAAUAGUCCGCAAUGGAGAUUGCUCUGUGCCAGCUACUAGUGGUAGCUGUCAGCUGCUGAAAGCAGCUGUAGCCCCCAGAUACAUUGGAUGAAGAAAAAAAAAUAGCUUUUGGUGGAUAUUGCCUUUCAGUGCACGGCCUAGAAAAGAAAAAAAUCCACAAGAUUCGUGGCGCUCACUGAACCCUUCCAUCCGAGACUACUUGUAUUAUUCUGCCACCCACGACUCCUACCAAUGUCUGGACUACUUGCUCAUCCACUCCUCAUUGCUGCCUGCGGUAACUACUACAGAUGAAGUCGCUAUUUCAGCUAAUUAAGAGAACAAUUAAGACCAAGCCGAUCAGUCAGUCACAUAGACUCCAGCCAUUCUCUGUGUUCAAUGCUGAUGUGCUGGUUCCCAAAGGGCAAAGCCUUAUUCGCUUCUCCAUAAAAUGACAAGACGGAGCCACGAGAUAUCUGAAAAACCAUUAAAAUGUCAUCAAAACUG